rnacentral:rRNA from 1 species
UACUCCGCCUGUUUCGGCCAGUGGGCGGCGUGCCUGUUUUUUCCGGUUGCGUCUCUGAAUUAAACAAAGGAUUUAGGAUUUUUCACCAGCUCACGAGCAAACGAGCGCGCUCGUGUGCGAGAGCGCGCGGCAGCCUAGCCGUAGCGCGCCAACGCGCAGCUAGCGAGGCUGGGCCGCUGGGCCGCGACGGAGCAGGUUCUUAGGUGGGGCAAAGAGACGGAACACCUCGGGUGCUUGGUGAGGAGAGACAGAGUGGAAGAGGGAAGGGGGCACGUGUGAAGGCAAGGAGGUACCGGGCCGCUCUAGGUGGCGCGGGCGGAGCUGGCCGUCGCUACGCGGGGGACGGGGUCUGGCCGUCGCUACGCCGGGGCGCGGGACGAAGAGGGAGGGGCGCAACAGGGCGCCGGGCGGCGCAGCUAAGGAGCACCCCAGCUACGUAGGGCGCUGACCCUGGAAGUUAAGGACAGUCUAGGUCCGGGAAGAGUAGGUUGCUGCUGUUGUUUUGUGCUGCCGCCGACGAGACCGGCGGGGGGCGUCUAAGGUUGAUCGCUGCGGGGGAGACGAGCGCGCGGGGAGCCUCUAGGGGAUGUCAAGUUGAGGGACCGGCGCGUCAUGUCCCUCCUAGGAGAGCAGGUAUCGCAACGGACAUCCCCAGUACACCUGCUGCCGCUCUUCGUGUUGCUCCACCUACACCACGUCAUGGAAUGUCAUCUAAAGGGAGGGCGAGAAGUAGGUGUCCAAGAGGAAGGAGUUAACCUCGACAAAGGUUAAGGGGACAGCCGUGAAGACAGAAGGUAAUCAUGUUGUGAUCGUUCGUUUUUGUUGUCUCCCCUCCUCUCUCCAUAGCCUCAUAGCUGCUGAUCGUUCGUUUCGUUCUCCUUUUCGCUUCCCCCGUCGCGGUAGGCACGCGGCGCUGGUGGAUCGUCCCACCACGAUCUAGACCCUUUGUAGCAGUGCUCACUAGCUCCUUGACCUGGCGUAGUGGCCAAAAUACGUGUGUGGGUUCGUUCUUCGAAGUUGUAGGUGAAAGUCUAAACCCAGACCUGUGUUGGGCCUGCCAGAGACAUAGGAAGAGUAGGCAGACACAGGCCAAACCGGGUGGACAGUAGGUGGGUGAAGAGAGAGGAGAAAGAGACGUUGUCGGGUGCGUGACGUGUGUAGUGAGGAGGUGGAGAAAGAGAGAGAGCCGGUGUUACGCUACUUGUGCCGCCGGAGGGAGAUCUGCACUACCCACGCCACCGCGAGGGAGGUCCGGCCGCCCUCGCGUGUGCUGUACCGUGUCGCUCCACCAGAUGCGCACCUGUGCCUCUGGUACCGACGUCGCUCCCUCCACUGUCACCGGUCGUUCUCCGUGACGGGUGCCGACCCUCAUGAGGUACCGGUGAGGGCGCGCGUCGAGAAACCGGUGAGCCCGACGUGGCCGCACGUCGAGGCGCCGGUGAGUCCGUACGUUACGGACUGUUGCUGUGGGAAGGAGCAGGUACAGAGGGAGACUCCCACUUUCGUUCCGCGCUUCCGUGAGGGAGGCCGUGGUCCGCACCGUCAUCACCUUCACUUAAGCAGGUCGAGGUCGCACGUUGCUGGACCCAACACGGGUGGACACACGGGAAGUAUACACGAAGAAGAAGGAGAGGUGCGUUAAGGGGAGACAGAGAUGGAUCGUGUAGGACCGCACUCCGCUCCUCAACGACGCUAGAGCAUCGUAGACCAUGAGUCUCGGGUUUAGUUAGACGUAGGCGACUAGACUUUUAAGAGUAUUAAGAGUACUAGAUAUCUAGUCAGGUAGCUAAUCGAGGAUUAAGGUCCGUUUUCCACGCCUAGGGGAGCCGCGCGAGGUUGUUCAGCUGCGAGAGUCGAGCGUACCGCCGCCGUCUCGAGAGGAACCGACUAGACGUCUUUAACCACGUGCUGUGCUAGGUCGUCUCGUUCCGCCAGAGUCUUCGCCCGCGGCGGUGUAGUCUCGUCCACUUGCUCGAGGUCCUUAGAGAGGUGUUCAUGUGCAGGAGCAGUCGGUUCCGUAAGCUACGCGAACGCUUCUGCUUGUGCCUGAGCAACCCGGCACGGCUCCGGUGCGAGCCAGCGCAAGAGUAGCGGUUGUCAAGUGAACUACGUCGUUACCGGGUCUACUUCGACCGCGACCUACCUCACGGCGGAGCUGGUGUUGCGAGGCGGGGCGACACGUACCUUCCUGUCUCGUCAGACGUUCGCGGUGUCCGCUAUCUAGUCGCCCCCGCAGCAGGAUUAGCUGUGGUUGGUGUGCUGUCACUCGUUAUAGUCAAAGCUGGGGGAUGGUCUCUCAUAAAGAGCCUACUGGUCCUCCUGGGUCUAGUGAGGGGACGAUUACCGGUGGCUAGCGUAGUGUUGGCUAUGUUCGGUGUUUAAGGAGUCAGACUAACGGGGUUCAAACUACCUCUCCUGGGGUUUACCACCUUUGUUGCCACACUCUUCAUGAAGACCUACAUGUUACACGUCGUCCUCAAUACCCAGCUAAAACGUUGUUACGUAAAGCGUCCGUUGCGUCGAGCCACCGAAGUCUGAAUGCUUCGGUACGUAUGCCAACUGUCAACCCGUCGAGACACAGAACGCCACAAACGGUUUAAGUUGUCUUUGUUUAUGUGGUCUCUAUAACUACACAAGAAACGUGACUUUGUUUGACUGUGGCACCCACGUAUACGAGUAUACAAACUUCUCGUGUACGUAUUCUACAACCACAUGUUAGUCGGCAUACCGCUCUGCAAGAAGUCAUUGGCGAAACAAGUCCCGGAGUUUGGUCGAUAUUCUCGUGGACAGUUCGACGUCGUCGGCUCAUAUCAUCUAAACCGAAUGAGUGACCGUGUUUGUGUUCGUCGUAUC